UUGUUUGCAAUCUUUUCAGCUUUGAUUGAGUGUGCCUCUCUAACCAAUGCAAUCUUGUUUCCCAUGAGCUGGUUUGAAGCACAUUGGCCGAUCUCAGCCCUCAGCUGCACGUUGAACGUGAAGAAGCGCAGCUAGGUCAGCACCAAGUAAGACAGAUGUUAGAGCUAUUUAUUGUACUCACCUCUCAUCUACAAGGCAAUGUGAUCUUGGGUGAUGAAAAAGGAGGGCUGCCAAAGCAAAAUUUGUGUCCAGAAAUACUGAUUGAUACUGAAUGCUGAAAUGCUGAAUACAGAAAUAAUGAUGAAUAUAUGAAAAUAUAUGAAAUAAUGAAAAAUAAUGAAAAAGUACCACCCAUUUCCCAGACCCAGUGCCAAUAAGUUGCUUAAGCUAAUCUCAGGCACAUCCAGUUUGUGGUCUUUUUGACAUGUAUAAUUGUUCUUAUUCCUUGUCAUCCUGUUGAUUCUUCGUGGAAAAGAUGUAUGAAAUAUUAUUAAACAACA